rnacentral:rRNA from 1 species
AAAAUUUCUACUUAAGAAUGAAAGGUAAGAGAAGCAUCUUAAAUUUUUAAAUAAAAAUUUUAGUAUUAGUUAAAGAAUUAAUAUUUAUUUUAAUAGAGAAAAGUACUGUAAAGGAAUGUUGACUGAAGAAUUUAAUUAAAAAAAAGAAGAUAUAAUUAGUCGUACCUUGUGUAUCAGGGUUUAGUAAAAUAAUCUUUAAAUUAAGAAAUCCCGAACGUAAUCGAGUUACAAAGAAAGUUUAGUAAAUGUAGCAUAAUUUUUAAUAAUUUUUUUGUAGGGUGAAAUGCCAAACGAGACUACUAUAUCUGGUUCUUCGAGAAAUAAAUUUAAUUUAGUUAAGAUUUAAACAAGACUUUAUAAUUAGUUUAGUUAAAAAUUUUAAAUAAAUUGUAGGGGGAUGAGCUCCUACAAUAAUAUGUAUAGGAUUAUUAUAUACUUUUGAUGAAUUAAGGUUUAAUAAUGGUCUUAAAAUAUAAAGUUUGUUAUAAUUUACAUUGGAAUUAAUAAUAUUUUUUUAUCCUUACCUCUAUAUCGAAAUAAUAAAAAUAAUAAUAUUUUUUAAGAAAAAAUGCUAAAAUCAGUAGACUUAAUUGUUUGUUUAAUAAAAUUUUAAAAAAAGUAAAAUUUUUAGUUGGUCAGAUUUAUUAAAGGAACUCGGCAAACAAAUUUUCCGCAUGUUUAUCAAAAACAUCUCUUUCUGUAAAAUAAAAAGUACCGCCUGCUCAAUGCUUCUAGUAAAUAGCCGCAGUAUUUUGACUGUGCUAAGGUAGCAUAAUCAUUAGUCUUUUAAUUGAAGGCUGGUAUGAAUGGCGAGACGAGAAAAUAGCUGUCUCUAAUGAAAUUAUUGAAUUUCAUUUCUAAGUGAAAAAGCUUAGAUUAUUUUGGAGGACGAUCAGACCCUUUGGAGCUUUAUCUAACUUAUUUAUUGAGUUUAUUUGAGAUAACUAACCUAUUUGUUAGAUUUUGUUGGGGCGACAGGGAGUAAAAAAUAUCACUCUUUUUAAGAAACUAAUAUAUCUGAAGUAUUGAUCCUCAAAGUGAGAUUAAAAGACUAAGUUACCCUAGGGAUAACAGCGUAAUCUUUUUAGAGAGUUCAUAUCGAUAAAAAGGUUUGCGACCUCGAUGUUGGAUUAAGAAGUUAGCAAGGUGCAGAAGUUUUGCUGGAGAGUCUGUUCGACUUUUAAACUCUUACAUGAUCUGAGUUCAAACCGGCGUAAGCCAGGUUGGUUUCUAUCCCCAGACUUAAAAUAGCUUUUUUAGUACGAAAGGAUCAUAAAGCUAAAAUUAAAUUUUACAAUUAAGGAUCAAAUUAAUUUAAAAAGAAAAGUGUCAGUCUGACAGACAAUGUUUU